CAAGGGGUUUUUUGUUUGUUUGUUUUGGUUUGGUUUUUUUCUUCCCCCGCCCCUCCUCUGAAAGGGAAUAAGAGAAACAGGAAAAACUCAGGGUCCAGAUCUCUGGGCCAUGUGAGUAAUGUUUUCUUAUUUUAUAGAGGCUCUGACAAAAAUACUCCAAGGAGGACAAACAAUAAUACAUAAUAAAUUAUAGACGCUGCAGAACUGAAGGACAUUAUGCUUCAGCAUUUCUGCCUUCUAAUAAACCAGUGGGAUGAGAUGCCCUUCUUCAUCUGUCUGCUUGCAGAGCGUUUGUUCAUUCACACCCACUGCGUCGUGGGUCACCUGCACAGGACCUCAGCAGACAGACUGUAAAAGACGUGACCCCUUCCAGUGUUUAAUACCCCUCAUGCUUAGAAGAUCCAAGAGGAAAUGUUUGGAACAGAACCCUACGAGAGACCCCAUGACUCUAGAGAGCAAGCCCCACAAGAAACUCCACGAGGGCAACAGAGUCCCUUCAGAAACCGCUCCUCCUUCUUGGUCCUUUAACGUUUUACAUCAGAGCUGCAGAAAGCCAGCGAGAGGAGGAGAGGGGCAUAUGUGCAAGUCCGCUCCUGGCCUCUGUUUCUUGGGCCAGGAAGAAGACAUCCGCCAAAGUCAAAAGGCAGCAGACUUGAUGUGCUAGACAAAACCAACGUACGAAACUCAACUGUUCUCUCUGAUUUUUUCCUUUCUUUUUUCCAUAUGUGGUCCUUUCAACAUAUACAGUAAUAGAAGGGAACCCAAAAAGACCUCACCCUGAACCGAAUGCUUCCACCCUUUCCCAAUCGCGGUGGCCUACAGGAGGAAACUUAAUUGCAGGUGGUGGGUGUAGGGGGCAAUAAAACGCGUGAGGCACAGGUUCCUACUUCAGCUUCAAGGAGACAAGCCCUGGAGAAUAGAGACUAGAAUCCGUGUUAAAAGAGGAUCGAUUGGAGGCAUCAACGUGAUUUAAGGGAUGAAAAGAAAGGGAAAAUCGCAGUUGAGGAAACCAGGAAAGAUUGUAGGGAAGAAGUGGCUCGUCAGGUAAAUCGUGAAGGAACGACAAGAUUUCAAAUGUUUGUUUUUAAGGUUUAUUCAGUUUUCAGAGACGGGCAAAGCGUGAAUGGGGGAGGGUCAGAGAGAGGGAGACACAGAAUCUGAAACAGGCUCCAGGCUCUGAGCCGUCAGCACAGAGCCCGACGCGGGGCUCAAACUCGCGGACCCCGAGACCAUGACCUGAGCUGAAGUUGGAUGCUUAACCGACUGAGCCACCCAGGCGCCCCAGGAAUGGCAAGAUUUUAGCAGGCAAAGAUGACAUGAAGGGAAAAAUGCCCGGGAUGGAGAGAGUGAUAUCUCACUGAAGAUGAGAAGUGAGUGUGGGGCACAGCCUGGGCGAAUUUGGCUGAAGUGUGGGGCACACGCCCAGGAACUGAAAAAGAUAAGGAAUUGGGGCGCAGAACUGCAAAGGGGAACUGCAAAGGAACUGGGGUGCAGAAAGCCAAUUAAAGGUGUUUGCACUUAACCAAGGGGGGGGGGGUGAGCGUUCCAUUUCUAAAGUGGGAUACCACUCUGCAAUAAGAAUGAGAUCUUUAAAUUGGGAUUCCGAUUUAACCAGUGUAAAUUCAGCUUCAAAAACUGACAUUUGAGUCAGUCACUGGAAAAUUUUGAGGUAUAUUUGAACAACUAGCCUGUGAAUCUUCUCUUAUAACUGUAAAUCUUAUGAAAGCUAAAUACAAAUUAAGUGUAUCUGAUUAAAUUUAACUUCCAAAUUGA